rnacentral:rRNA from 1 species
UACGUAGGGGGCAAGCGUUAUCCGGAUUUACUGGGUGUAAAGGGUGCGUAGGCGGCCUGCUAAGUCUGGAGUGAAAGGUACCGGCUCAACCGGUACAGGCUCUGGAAACUGGCGGGCUAGAGAGCAGGAGAGGGCGGUGAAACUCCAUGUGUAGCGGUAAAAUGCGUAGAUAUAUGGGAAGAACACCAGUGGCGAAGGCGGCCGCCUGGCCUGUUAACUGACGCUGAGGCACGAAAGCGUGGGGAGCAAAUAGG